AAGUUGUUCUUAUGGAAAAUAGGCAAAUCUUAAUGAGGUGAGGUCUGCUGUCUUGUCCUUGGCUUUCAUUGGCUGACAAUAUGCAACAUUUUGAUUGGAUGUGGAAAUAAGAUUUGGAAACUGUGU